GAAUGGCGUAAUGAUGGCCAGGCUGUCUCCACCCGAGACUCAGUGAAAUUGAACUCGCUGUGAAGAUGCAGUGUACCCGCGGCAAGACGGAAAGACCCCGUGAACCUUUACUAUAGCUUGACACUGAACAUUGAGCCUUGAUGUGUAGGAUAGGUGGGAGGCUUUGAAGUGUGGACGCCAGUCUGCAUGGAGCCGACCUUGAAAUACCACCCUUUAAUGUUUGAUGUUCUAACGUUGACCCGUGAUCCGGGUUGCGGACAGUGUCUGGUGGGUAGUUUGACUGGGGCGGUCUCCUCCUAAAGAGUAACGGAGGAGCACGAAGGUUGGCUAAUCCUGGUCGGACAUCAGGAGGUUAGUGCAAUGGCAUAAGCCAGCUUGACUGCGAGCGUGACGGCGCGAGCAGGUGCG
rnacentral:rRNA from 1 species